CGACCGGCGCACGGGUGAGGUAACACGUAUCCAACCUACCCUUUACUCGGGGAUAGCCUUUCGAAAGAAAGAUUAAUACCCGAUAGCAUAAUGGUUCCGCAUGGUUUCAUUAUUAAAGGAUUCCGGUAAAGGAUGGGGAUGCGUUCCAUUAGGUUGUUGGUGGGGGUAACGGCCCACCAAGCCUUCGAUGGAUAGGGGUUCUGAGAGGAAGGUCCCCCACAUUGGAACUGAGACACGGUCCAAACUCCUACGGGAGGCAGCAUG
rnacentral:rRNA from 1 species